GGUGGCAGACGUGUCCAUAGGAAAGCACACCUAUCGUCGUUCGGUAGCUAAGCUCAUCAUACUGCCGGAGAUGCCUGCUGAGAAUAAUACAUCAUAGUCACAGGGAUUUUUACUGGAUCCAAAUGUGCUGCACACAUUAGGGGGCAGCUGUAUAAAACUCCCCCAUUACUUGGACUAUUCCUUGCACCCCCUAGCAUAAGCCCGAAUGGUUUCAACCACAUUGCAGCACUAACGUGCACUUGUUGUCAUAACGAGAUCGCCACACCAGUAGCGAUCGGACAAUUGGGAGUGUUGUUCAAUUUGUGUGUUGUGGAUAUGUGUGCGUGCAUGAAAAUAUACCACACCCAUUCACACACCCAUCCAACUACCAUUGCAUGUAAAAUGUACUACCCUGGAAAUCAAUAAAGUAGUUAAACUGGAA